CAAUAGCGUAUAUUAAAGUUGUUGCAGUUAAAAAGCUCGUAGUUGAAUUUCUGUACAUUCCCGGUGCCGGCUCUUGUCGAACCGUGGAGUGUGCAUCCGCUUACAAACUUAGCUCGGUCUUCAUUGGUCGACUAAGGGAGUAGGCCCUUUACUUUGAAAAAAUUAGAGUGUUUCAAGCAGGCAAUGGCUCGAAUACAUUAGCAUGGAAUAAUGGAAUAGGACUGAGGUCCAUUUGGUUGGUUAUUGGACUUUGGUAAUGAUUAACAGGGACAGUUGGGGGCAUUAGUACUUAACAGUCAGAGGUGAAAUUCUUGGAUUUGUUAAAGACUAACUUAUGCGAAAGUAUUUGCCAAGGAUGUUUUCAUUAA
rnacentral:rRNA from 1 species